rnacentral:rRNA from 1 species
AUUGAACGCUGGCGGCAGGCCUAACACAUGCAAGUCGAGCGGAUGAAGGGAGCUUGCUCCCUGAUUUAGCGGCGGACGGGCGAGUAAUGCCUAGGAAUCUGCCUGGCUGUGGGGGAGAACGUUCCGAAAGGAACGCUAAUACGGCAUACGUCCUUCGGGAGAAAGCAUGGGAGCUUCGGGCCUUGCGCUAUCAGAUGAGCCUAGGUCGGGUUAGCUAGUUGGUUAGGUAACGGCUCACCAAGGCGACGAUCCGUAACUGGUCUGAGAGGAUGAUCAGUCACACUGGAACUGAGACACGGUCCAGACUCCUACGGGAGGCAGCAGUGGGGAAUAUUGGACAAUGGGCGAAAGCCUGAUCCAGCCAUGCCGCGUGUGUGAAGAAGGUCUUCGGAUUGUAAAGCCCUUUAAGUGGGGAGGAAGGGCAUUAGCCUAAUACGUUGGUGUUUUGACGUUACCGACAGAAUAAGCACCGGCUAACUUCGUG